CACCUUAGCGUCAAGCACCAUCUCCCUCUUUGCCACGUCACUGAAAAACUUCACGGAAUGGUUAGCCAUCAGCUCGACACCAUCAAGCCGGGCCGUGAGCUCAAGUAUCUGGCAAGACCUCGAACGCUGAGACCCUGCUUCGACUUGAGCCGAACCGAUGAGAGAGCCGUCGUAGAAGAUCGACAUGAUAGUAGAGGAGUAGUGGAUGGGUAUGAUAUUGGGAUUGGUGACGUGUACGGUGAGUAUCACAUCGGUGUCGAUGACUGGAAAUCUGAGCUUGAAGGAAGUGAAGUUGAUUUUGAUCAAAUGAAAUGUUGGGUCUUUUGGCUUGGCACUGAUUAGAGCCACUGAUGCUGUAGCUGAUGCUGCUCCAACUAAAGCGGCGGUCCAGCUCCAUUUUACCUUUUUGCCCAUGAAUUUUGGAGAUAAUUACUCUCUCCUCCUCCUCCUCUGUUUGCUAGAAAUGAGAAUUGAGAGGUCGGUAGAGGGCUUUGCAGAUAAAUGGAUGGCACUUUCUAUGACCAAUGGUGAAAUUUGGAAAUGACGGAAAUGGGCUUCAUGGUGGUUCUGUGGUCUUUUGCUUUUUUCGAGGAUAUCUUGGUGAUUUCAUGUGUGACAAACCCAAGUGUUUCGGACAGCGGACAGUUUCCUUGUCUGCACAAUUGAAUUUUGGAUUAUGUUCACGCAAUAUUUUUCUAUAAAUAACAUUUUAUGUGUAUAUUUCAUCAUUAAAUUUAGAUUUAUCUUCCCAUUUUUUGUGUGUUUUUAUUUGGAGGAAUUAGGCAAUUACCAUAUAAUUUUUAAAAAAUAGCCUAUGCAAAAAAAUCUUGAUGAAAUAUCAUAUUUUUACUCACGGUUAAGAAUCAAGAUAUACAUAUUAAAUAUUAUAUUUUUAAACCGCGACAACCAAUUAAUAUCAUAUAUAAAAAAAAUAAAAUUUUAAUUAAUUUUAUGAUUUUUAAUCACAAUAUCAAUUAUCUUUUAUUUGAAUGGAGUUAGGUGAAAGCUGUUUGCUUUUAUCCAAUUUAUACCCAAAUUUUUUUUAUCAAAGCUUGGUUAGCAAGUUGUUACAAUGCAACCAUUUGUUGUAUCAACAACAAAGAUCAAGAGUCUAGAACAUAAUUCUUAAAAAUGCAUUUUAACUCGUAAAAUCGUUAAAACCCAUAAAUGUGUAGAAUCAGGGUUAAAACUUAAAAACCAGUAAAAUCGGUCAAACUCGGUCAAACUCGGUCAAACUCGCAUAAAACCGGGUCAACUCGUAAAAAAUGUUAAAAACAUAACGUUUUCACGAGUUCACCAAAAUGUCACCGAAUGCACUAAUGCAGAAAAUUAGAAGUGCAAAAUUAGAUGUAAUUUUAACUUAGCAGUGCACUAGUCUCUUUUCUUUCCCAAUUCCCACCUAACCACCCCCACCCCACCCGUGACUUCGUCCCUGUCUCACACUCUCCCUGACUCCCUUCUCUUUUUCCCUUUCCCCUUUCCCUAGCAAAUUAAGAAAUCACUUUCCCCGAUCCGGAGCGUUCUUAGCGAGAUGAAGGUAAGUAUUAAUUCACAAUCCCAAGCUUUGUUUUUUCUGUCUAAUGGUGGUGAUUAGAGACAAAAAUGAUCCAGGUAUGCUGUGAAUCUAUGUUUAUCUUCUAGGUAUUCUACAAUUAAUUGGUUUGCUUCUAGGUAUUUUUUGGAGGGGGAGUGGUGCUGCACUGUUGCUAGUAAUUUCAUGUGCAGCUUUGUUUAUCUUAUGUGAAGCUUUCUAACAAUAGUUUACUGCUGUGUGUUGUAAUUUCUUUUAAUGUUCAACUAUGCUGUUUGAUCUUGCUUGCUCAAGUGUUGCAGAUUCUAUAAUUCUGCGUACACAACGAAGCAAUAAAGCAACAAAGCAAUGAAGCAUUCCAGGAUUGCACUCUUGUCAAGGUCACUUUCCAUUAUCUUUAAUAAACUUCUUUAUUAUAUGAAAUUUUGAGAGAAAACUGAAACUGAAUGUGAAGGGAAUUUAGGUGUAAUUUAUCUAGGUAUUAUGUAAAUGUGUGUAAUUUCUUGCUUGCUGGUAUUGUGUGUUGUAAUUUCUAGCAUUCCAAGUAUUCUGUAAAUUCAAAAACUACAAACGUUAGGGAAAUUGAUGCACCUGUUUGGAAUGCCUUUUGCAUUUAAUUUAUCUAGGUUUUUUGUGUAUUACUGGAUAGGUAGUCUUGAAAUGCCUUUUGCAGUGCUUCUGUUGUGUUUUUGUGAAUUGUAAAUCAUCAGAUUACAAGUUGUCACCUGCCAUACUUUUGUAGUUGAAAUACUGGUGAACAAAUAUUUCAAUUCUUUGGGCAAUUGGCAUUGUAUUUGGUGGCAGCAGAGCAAUUGAUGCUAAAAGCCUUGCCUGACGUCUUUGUUGUUGUUCUUAGGCAAUGCUAUGAUUGAAAUCACUUAGUUUAAAUCACUUAUUGAUAGAAAUGCAUCAUUUUCUAAGACUUUGGCAAAUUUAGGAUUCCAGAAGCUUAAAAUCCUAAUUACAAUGGCUAUCUGUUUGGCUUGUACAAUUUUCCACAAGUCUUAUUGGUUCCUCCAUAAUUAUAAUCCACGACUUUUAAUUUCUAUGUCCCUUCUUGAUUUACAAUAUGUGCUGAACUGUAGGAUACUAGAAUAGUUGUCUUUUUUUGUCUCACUAGAAUAGUUUCCCAUAAAAAAAUGUAUUGAAUUGUAGGAUACAACAUGCAUAUUUGUAAUUCUUUAUCAAAUGAUUGAACUGCAAGAAAUAAAUGAUUCUUGAACUGUAGGAUACAUGGCAUCUAAAAAAACAACAAGUGGCAAUAAACUUGACGUGGGAUGGCAAUAUGGUAUAGAUGUUGACAAGAAUUCAAGAAAAGUGCAGUGCAAGUUUUGUCAGAAAAUUAUUAUUGGAGGCAUUUACCGUUUCAUGCAUUAUUUGGCUUGCACUCGAAAGGAUGUUAAGCCAUGCCAGCAAGUACUAGAAGAUGUAAAGAAGAUGAUUUUGAAUGUUCUGGUGAAAAAUCAAGAAGCAAUUGAGAAGAAAAGAAAGGCUUUCCAAUAUAUUGGAAAAGAUGAAAAUAAUGAUGAAGGGAAUGAAAAGGAUCUUAGAGAAGAAGCAUGUCGAUAAAUUGUAAGAUUUUUCUACACUAAUGCAAUUCCAUUUAAUUGUGUGAAAAACCCUGAAUUUGUUAAGACACUUAAAUUGGUUGCAAAACAUGGGCUAGGUUUUAAGUCUCCAUCCUACCAUGAUAUUAGAGAGAAGUAUUUGAAGCAAGAAGUAGAUCACACGAUUAACUUGCUUGAUGAGUACAAGUUAGAAUGGAAAAAAACAGGUUGCUCAAUAAUAUCUGAUGGAUGGACUGAUAAGAAAAGACGUUCUAUUUGCAACUUUUUGGUUAAUAGUCCUAAAGGGACAAUUUUUUUUUAUCAUCCGUAGAUACCUCUAAUAUAUUCAAUACUACUGAUAAGGUAUUUGAGAUGUUGGAUGCUAUUGUGGAGAGGAUUGGAGAGGAAAAUGUGGUGCAAGUAGUCACUGAUGAUGCUGCAAAUUAUAAGGCAGCAGGGCAAUUGUUGAUGGGAAAAAGAAAAGGAUUGUUUUGGACACCAUGUGCUGCCCAUUGUAUUGACUUGAUAUUGAAAGAUUUUGAGAAGAAACUAGAGGUCCAUCAAGUAACUAUUGCUAAUGGGAGGAGAAUCACCUCAUACAUAUAUUCAAGAACUGUUCUCAUUUCCAUGCUCAGACACUUUACAAAAAGAAAGGAUUUGAUUAAGCUUGAUGUCAUUAGAUUUGCUACUGCAUACUUAACUCUUGGAUGUUUGAGUGAUUGUAAGAUAUAGUUGAUGACAAUGUUUACUUCCAUCCAAUAGAGGUCAUGUAGGUUUUCAAAAACAGAAGAAGGGAAGCGAAUUCAAAGUUGUGUUUUGGACAACAAGUUUUGGCAUGAUGUUACUACAUGUAUUAAGGUAGCAUAUCCUCUGAUAAAAGUUCUUCGAUUAGUUGAUUCAGAUGAGAAACUAGCUAUGAGUUUUAUAUAUGAAGCAAUGAAUCAAGCAAAAGAGAAGAUACAAGUGAAUUUUGGUUAUGUGAAAAAAAGGUAUUGAUUAUAUAUCUUACUAAUUAUUUAUUUACUACUAUCAGUUGAUUAUAAUUUUUACCAGCUAAGUCAUGUAAUGCAUCAUGCCGUUUCCAUAGCCAGAAUGCUUCAUUUUGUAUGAUGAAUUUUCACUUAAGAAAACAAAAGGUCUGCCCUACUGUUUGAUGUAUGUUUUUUAUUUUUAUUUUUUUUAUGAAGAUUGAAGUUUUAAAUUAACUGAAUUUGAAAUUUUAAGUUCACAAGUUCUAAUUUUGUACUUAAUUCUAUUUCUAGCUAUUAAGUAAUUUAAUUAAAAAAAAAUAAUCAAAUAACUAAACAACUUAAUCGUAAAAUAAACUAAAUUAAAAAUAAUUUAUAUUCUAAUUACAUUCAAGAAUUUAAUUGGAUAUAUAUAUAAACCUUUAUUUUUUAAGUUUUUCUUAAUUAUUCAAUUAUCAUAAUUAUCUUCUAAUUAACACUUAUAAGCAUAGUUUUGAAACCCGACCCGAUGGUCGACCCGGCAUAAUGACCGGGUCACGGGUUAGAUGGUUUGACCCGAGUCAACCCGGUCAACCCAAAAAAAAAACCAGACUGAUUUCCAAAAUUCAAAUAAAAUUCAAACUUUGAAGCUCAUUCUUUUUGUUUGUCAUUUACUGAACCAGAGGCCUACAAAAAACAUCCUCACCCUCCAUAAAACCUCACAUAGUUUGUCAUUAUUAAGUCAAAGCAUUAAAUGCUAGCAUUUAUCUAGGGGCCUCCCUUUUUUUGAAUUCUUCUCCCAGCUCCAUCCGUAUACCACUUUAAAUAAAUUAAAUUAAAACAAUUGAUGAAACAAUUAAGGAAAGGAGUAUUGGGAAAUUCAAAAUUCACACAGUAAUAAUCAAGACUGACCACUUUUCUAAGUUUUCAUAACGUGGCACAUAUCCAUCCCUUCAUUUAUAUUCCAGCUCCCCUCUCAUAUACACGGAUCACUCCCUUUUUCUCUGUCUCUCUAGUUGUUGCUGCUGUUGUGAAGAAGAAGAAAAUGAGCUCUUUUUUUUGUGAAUAUGGCAGUUGAGGUGAGCUCUCUGGUUGAGUGGAUGCACAGAUGAUAGGAACGUUGUGAGCGAACCUGAAGGGGCAAUAUCUUCUUAGAUAUUCCAAGAAAAUGAUUUUGUCAUAAGAAACAGAGUUUUUGAUGCUCAAAAAAAGAUUUUAUAUGUUUUUCACGCCUGUUUAAACUCAUGAUUUUUUCUUCUUUUUGUUUUCUUUGAAUUGACAUUUAAAGGCUUUACAAUUUCUUUCUCUUCGUGCGAAGAUAUCUUUUUAUUAAAUGAUUGGUACUUAAAUGUUUCCUGAUUUACCUUGAAAUCUUCUGCUCUGUUUGAUACCUCAGUUUGGUUUAUGAGAAAAUGUAGAAUAGGAAAUGAGAGUAAAAAACUACGUCGUUUCGCAUCCAUGUAUAUAAAAAAAGAAAGGCCGGGUCUCAACCGGGUUUACCCGGGUCGUCCGGGUUCCGGGUUGACUCGCCGGGUCGACCGGGUUUUACCGGGCCAACUCCCGAGCGGGUUUUUACUUAGACCCGGACCGGUUCCAGGCCCGGGUCGGCGGGUCCCGGGUCAACCCACCGGGCCGGUCCGGUUUUAAAACUAUGCUUCCAAGUUCCAACAUCUAGCAUUGCUUUCAUCUCAUCAAGGUUGUCAAAAACACAUUUUUGACACGACACGGAAAAUAUAAAAUAAACUCGGAUCGUAAAAACGGAUGAAUUGAUAUUAAAAAAUCUAAUUAAAAAUAACACAUAAAAUAAGUCAAGUCAAAUUUGAAAUUGAAAAGAUGAAUUGAUACGUUUUAGGAUAUAAAUUGAAAGAAAUUAUAAGAUUAAAUAUUUUAAUUGAAUGAAAUUGAAAAACUCAAAAGUCAUGGACUGUAAUUAAAAGUAAGAAACAUUCUGAGGAUCAAUUAUCUUAGUUAUAAUUUCAUUUCAGUCCCAUUUGUUUCAUUCACAAUCAAUUCAGUCCAAUUAAAUUGAAACUAAUUCAAUUCAGCCCAUUCAAAGCAUGUUUUCGGUAUGAUUUUUUUCCAAUUGAUUCAAUCUAGUCCAUGAUUCAAAUUAAACCCCAAAUCCCAGCAAAAUAAACCCAGAUUCUAAUCUCCCAAUUCCAUCUCCAGGAAUCAAGUCCUAGAAAUCAUUCAAUACUGCAUUAAUUCCAGAUUUUUUUCUCUCCUACAAAGAAAAGGUGGACACUGGGGAAUUCAAAUGGAAGGAACUAGGGAAAAAAAACCAAGAAACAACAAUAGAGGACCAACAAAGAAGUCUGGAAAUGUUUCCUGAUUUCAACCGACCCAGAGACCUACAUCACCAUAGCCAUCUUUCAAACACAAACCAACACCAUACCCAUCAGAUCGUGAGCUAUCUCCACUAUAUCUCAGCCCUUAUAAACAUCAUCAUCUUCCUUACCUUCCAUUAACCCAAAACAAACAGCACAGGGAGAGGAUACAAAAUAUUGGAAAUUUCAUCCUCUAUUCCUCAUGAACGAAUAUGGAAAUUUCUCGAGUUUCUCCUCCACCCGGUCCCUUCUCUCAUUCAAUCUCCUCAAUAUCGCUCAGAACAACUGGCUUCUUCACUCGUUGAUUCCCAGAUCUAAAAUGCAAACCGAUUGCUUCACGCAUCUAUUCUUCCUGGCUGAUUUGGAGACUUGAAACCUUCACUUUAGCAGUUGUGUGCCUGAAGGUGCCUUUCUUACCUUCUUGCCGAGUUAAGCUACUCACUCACAGUUUUGCGUUUCCUGGUUUGCUUUCUACCUUUGUUUUCGGGUGGUGGGCGGGAGCAGCAGAAGCAUUGAGAUGUUCAGAGAUGCAUGAUUUUGUGUAGACAAUUUUAGGCUUAGAGAUUUAGAUUUUGUUUGUUCUGUGUGUGUGUAUCAGCAGCUGAAAGAAAGAUGAAAGAACGCGCAAAUCGCAAUAGUCAAUGGCCCAAUAACUGCUGGACAACUGGAGGGUGGAUUCAAGGGUUACGAGCAGUAUAUAAUUUCUGUCAAAAUCGUUAUAACGAUCCUAAAAUCGUGUUUUUAUGCGAUUUCACCCGAUUUCAACCCAAUUUCAUUUAUUUUUGAGUUUUUUUAACGAUUUAGUACGUUAAGCCUACAUUAACUCCUAAAAUCAUACAAUUUUAAUAGUCAAAUCACGAUAUUAAUAACCUUGCAUCUCAUGCCAAAGAUCCCAGAUAUUUCAUUUUCAUCUUCAAACUUCAAGCACAAACACAUCCAGCUGCAAUAACUCAGUACUACAAUUACAACAUUCCCAUUCAAGCAAGAAAAACAUCAAGACGUGACUUAUUUUCUUGAUCAAUAAUAUCAAGAAACAAAGGGUCUACGGUUAUAUGACUAUCCACGUGUACAUUAAACCUAUGGCCCCACCACAACAAGCUAGCCGUACCUCCAAUAUCCACCUUAGCGUCAAGCACCAUCUCCCUCUUUGCCACGUCACUGAAAAACUUCACGGAAUGGUUAGUCAUCAGCUCGACCCCAUCAAGCCGGGCCGUGAGCUCAAGAUCUGGCAAGACCUCGAACGCUGAGACCCUGCUUCGACUUGAGCCGAACCGAUGAGAGAGCCGUCGUAGAAGAUCGACAUGAUGGUAGAGGAGUAGUGGAUGGGUACGAUAUUGGGGUUGGUGACGUGUACGGUGAGUAUCACAUCGGUGUCGAUGACUGGAAAUCUGAGCUUGAAGGAAGUGAAGUUGAUUUUGAUCAAAUGAAAUGUUGGGUCUUUUGGCUUGGCACUGAUUAGAGCCACGGCUGCUGUAGCUGAUGCUGCUCCUACUAAAGCGG
rnacentral:lncRNA from 1 species